UUGGCCGGUGGCUUUCCCUAUUUCCCUGAUCUAAGGCUUUCACCCCUAUAUUUGGCUCCAUGUUUUUUUAUUUAAAAAGACCAUUUAGAAAUUUGUCUACAGCCAACCUUCAAACUCUGUAGCUCAAUAGUGAGGCUACUUGAAGCUGGACAGGGCCGUUGUUGAUUACGCAAUGUAUCAGAGGCUCCCUGGAAGAGAAAACACCAGGUAACAUCUGCUCAGUUACAGCCGGUCGGGCACAUGCACCACUUUAUUCUGGAUAAAUAACCUGCUUGCAACUGAUUCUUGUUCCUUGCUUAACGUGACCAACAAAACAGCGGGGAAGAGAAUGUAGGAAAAUGUAGCAUGGGAUGGCUUGGUUUUAGAAGCACUGAUUCACACAUGCCGGCAAAGAUUUCACCACAAGAGGUCCUCAGACAACAAGUUUCAGGGUUACAGUAUUGUAUCUGAUAGUGACUACAUCCUUACUCUGGGUUCCAACAUAAGAAGGCAAAUGGAAUUCUAUAGCACCCAGCAGAGCCCAGCCAAUCCCAGAAGCACCAUGGCCAGCCUGCUGCCUGUUGUCAACAAGCCUGACAGCCCCUUCUACUACAGCAUUGCCUGUGUCCUGUAAAGUCAGAAACCAAACAUGAAAAAUGCAAAUCUGGAGAGUGGAAGCAACUUAAAGGAUGGCAAGCAGCUGCGAGGGAGGACUGAAGGAAUUUCCCACCAGUCCUGUAGAUGAACAGGACUCCAGCUACUAGAAAGCGUGACAUCUCCUUGGUACUUUAGAAGCAGUGAAGGAUCCUAUUCUGUCACCCCUCCCUCACUGCAGAGCCUGAACUGUCUCACUUUCCCAGAACUCCUCAGUGGGAUGACCAGCUUGUUCCAGUAUAAACCUCUGUGAUGAUGGAAGUAUUCUAGAUGUUCCCCGUCCAAUAAAAUGACCACUAAGCACAUGUAGCUACUUAACAUUUGAAACGAAUUACAUAUAACUGAUGAGCUGAAUCUUUAAUAUUUAAUUUCAAUGGAAUUACAUGUAAAUCAGCAUAUGUGGCUAGUGGCAUGGGAUUUGAUGGCCUGUGUACUCAGUUUCUCUACUAUGACCAUAAUUAGUCUCCUCUAGGUUCCAAUCCCUAGCCUUCUCAGAGAAGCACAAGAAAGUCCAUCUCAUAAACCAAGUGCUAGGCAGAAAUUAAGGUCCUAAUCCUCGUAGGCAACUGUGUAGCUCUUUUUCCUUUCUCCUGUCUUAUGGAUCCAACCCAGUGCCUCACACAGACUAAGCAAGAGCUCUACCAGUGAGCUACAUGUCUACAUGCCAAAACUAGUACACAGGUUUUGAACAACACCAUGCUUUAGUCAAAGUAGAAGCCCAAGUGGCAAGAAUUGGGGAAGGUGGCAGAAAGUAUGAUAUGUAAAGAGAUGAUGGGUAAAGACUUUUACAUGCACAUCAAAGCAUGCCAAAUAGAUGGCAUAUCCCUUCCCCCCAGUGCUCUGGGAUGCUUCUAAGCUCUUUUGUCUCUCACAAAUCUGGCAAGAUUUAAGGUCACAAGUAUAUGAGCAGGAGCUAGGAAAGAACUGGAAUGGGCAGAUCCUGGAGGAUGCCAGAGUUCUUGCAAAAGGAUGUAAGGUGCCAAGUAGGUUGGUGCUUUGUUCUGCCUUGCUAUGGAAUGAUCACAACCAUUGGGACAUAACUGAAAAGCUGGAGAUGAGAAAGAGCUCACAACGGACCAUGGUAUUUUUGUUAGGAUGUUGAACAAGAGUUGAAGCCCAGCUCUUAAUCUGAGUCCCAGCCUUUCAGGGGAGUGUUCAUGAAUGUUGGUUCCUGGAUGUUCUUUUCAUAUUGAAACUGGACCGUGUUGCUGUGUGUCUUGGCUUGUCUUAAAACUGCCUUCAAGUUCCUGCCUGUGUUUUCACUGGUACACACUGGCAUCAGGAUAAUUUUGGCAUGUCAAUUCCAGGUUGGGUAAAGGGUGGAGAACAUGGGGCUAGGAUUGAUGCUACAGAAGGUCAACCAAAAGGAUAAAAGGGUCCUGGGGGCCACUUGGAGAUGAACAAGCAGAGAUCAUACCAAUGUUUGUGUUUUGGGAUUUGUUCUUAGGGCCUCAGUCUCCUGUUCUAACCACAGACACAUCUGCUACCAACACUCCACCUGUACUGUACUGCUUGGAGUGGAAAAGAUGAAUUUUAAUUAAGCCACUGUUUAAACUCUAUGUUUUCCUGCUUAAAACAUUUAUAAAGGCAGUAAGAGACAUUUUUUUACACAAUAAGUAAGUAUACAUAAAGUUAAAAAAAGGAAUUAGCAGAGAAAUCUCUGUGUGUUUGCAAUACAGUUCAGACUCCAGUUUUCUGUCCUUGUCUUCUUGGGGAAAGAUUUUUACAGUGUUUAGUAUAACCUUGUUGUCUCCCAAUUUGUCUAUCUUUUGAGUAUUACAGAUGAUGUGAAAUCAAGGGACAGAGCUCAGAACGGAGGAAGGAGUGCAUAGAAGUUUAGCUGGAUUGAUCCAUCAGUCCUUAUGCCCAUGGACCAUCCAGGGAAGCACGUCCAUGUCACAGGGAUCUCUUGUACCCAAAGUGUCUGGAUGACUUAUGGUAUCCUUUCUGUAGACAUUUCCUAAUGUCCACUCUGCACACUAUGAAUUUCAGUCCAUUUAAAUGAAAAGACAGAAGGUCCUGCCAGGGCUGAGGUAACUUAGAGAAGUUGUUUUUGAUAAAAAGGAUUUUGUUCCACUUAGGAGACAUCUGGCAAUGUCUGAACACAUUACUGUCACUACCCAGGGUGGGUGAUUUUGUCCUUCCCAGGACCUUAAGCAAUGUUUUGACACUGUCAAAGCAAUGAAGCUGGGGUGGGAGUGGUGUUAUACUCUGAUGUUGCUAAGUUUACUACCGUACAGAGAGCUGUCUCUGUGGCAAACAAUGUAUUCUUUGACUCAGAAGGUCUUGACAAUGUUGAGAAACCUUGGUCCAAGAGACAGGUAGGACUUCACUGGAGUGAGGGAUGGCUCACAAAGGGACACCACCAUGUCACUGCUGGAAGAGAUGUAAACCCCGAGAGUUGGCUCAAAGAAAUUUCAGAAACUUUUCACUUAGAACUUUUUUCAGGCGUUAACUUAGUUAAUUUCCUAUCCUAAUGAUAUUUUUUACUUUCCCUGGAAGAGAAGGAAAGAAAGGCGUCAGAUUUACACAAGCAACCCUCUAUUUUCUUAAGUAGACUAGAUCUUUGGCUGUAGCAUAUGCAGAGGCAAUCUGUGCAGAUGAUUUCUCCAUGGCCUAUUUGCUGACAGGUCCUGGCUGCCAGGACUUCCUUGCUGUUAGUAGAUGGAGAAGAUUCAGAGAUUGCCAUGUAUGAGUAUUGUCAUAUAGGCUGGGGUGGAGCAGGUCCAAGGAGUGACAAUAUUAAGGAGGCCAAGACAAGGCUCAGAAAGUGGUGAUAGAAUUUGUACUGAACUGGUUGGAAAAAUAAAAGCAGAGGCAGUAUUUCUCUUUCUGAUUAUAGAAGUAACACAGACAUUGUAAAAAAAAAUCUCCCAAGUACAGAAAAUUGUAAAGAGGAAAUAAAAAUCUCCUAAUUGCACUCCUAGGGGAUAUCAACCAUGAAAAGCGUUUGAGAAAAACAAGGAAAAGAAAUGAACAUCAGGUUUUCUGAGACAAUGAGCUAGGGAGAUUGGAGAUGUUUUUUUGAGAAUAGCAGAGUGCCCUGUAUGAGUGAACAUCAAUGGGUUGAGAUGAUGUUCUUUGAGAAUCAAGAUAGCUGGGUCCCUGUCCUUGCCAGGAUGAGAUGGACAAUGGAAGGCAAUCAGCUGUGCACUAGAUCAAGCCCUUCUUACCUUCAGGGCUCAUGUGCAAAGCAUCUGUGGUGCUCACCUUCACAGACAGAAGUGUCCUUUAGCUGAAAGAGAAGAUGACUCAUGUUAGUUCAAAUGCGAUGAAGCAGGAUAUUUGUCAUUUCCAGCUUCCUGUGCCACAUAGCAUGGCUAAACACCCUCACUUAUAAUAGCUCUCAUUUUCUGGACUUAGUUUUUUGGCAACUUCAUUAUGAAGUAAUACCAAUCUUAGACAAAAGUUGCAAAAAUAAAUUUCAUCUAUUACACCCAGAUAUCCGAAUUAUUAAUAUGUUAUUCAUCAUCCUGUGUCUUUUAUGUAUAAAAAUUACUUUUUCCCCCAAAUCUAAGACUGGAGAGCAAGUCAUAGUAAUGAUGCCUCCUUUGUCCUAGUUAUAUUGAGUUAUUGAGAAUAGGACAUUCUUUUUUUUUUUUUUAAUAAACAAUGUGAUUAAGUCAGAAAAUGACCAUUGAUUCAGUAUUUCUAUCUAAUCUAUAGCUCAUAGUUCAUCUAGCCCAGUGGGGUUAAGUUAUAAGGAGUUUGAUACUGGAGGUCCUAGAUGGUAUUUACUGAUGAAUCCUGACAUGGCCUUGGUCGAGUUAGAUUUGUCCACUUUUACUUGAAGCUUAGGUUGGAUUCUCCCUUGGAGAGUCAAAAAUACUUUGGCAAGAGAAGGCUGCCAAAUGGUAAGAAGUGGGUUGUUCACUGAAAUGCAGGGUGAAGCCUUUCAUCUCUUGCGAUGCACCCUCUAGGAGUCACGGCCCCAACUUUAUCCAGCUAGUCUUCCUGACUCUAGGCUUCUAUAUGAAAUCCCAGACUCUUUUUUCUGAUUGGCCAAGGUUUAAGGGACACAAGGUAGCUAACCGCUGGAAAUGCAGAUCUCAGAUAGGAAGAAACUCGUUCAACAUUUCAAUACAAAACAGGUCUGUAUAUGACAGAAGGUACUUUUUCAACCUGACUUUUAGGGCUGGGAAGAUUGCUCAGUGGGAAAAGGACCUGCCAUGUGAUUAUAAGACUGGAUUUCAAACCUGCAGCACUCACAUACAGGCUGGGGAGGUAUGGUGGUCUAUCUAUGAUCCCAGCAAACAUGGAAGGUGCAGACAGGAUCCCUGUAGCAAGCCGCCUGCCUAGAUCAGCCAAAUCUAGCUAGAUUAGGUUGAUUCACUUGAAUUCUGGGUUCAAGUGAAUGACCCUGCCUUAAUAUAUAAGGUGUAGAGAGCAGGAGGAAGACACUAGACAUCAACCUCUGGUAUCCACAUGUGUAUGUACUUGCAUAUAUACAAGUAUCCCCCCAAACACACACACACACACACACACACACACACACACACACACACACACACGGAUCACAUACACAUGUAAAAAAUAACCAACCCCCUCCCCCAAACUGAAUAAUAUUUAUGGACAUAAAUUCAAAAUUAUUGUCCAAUUUAGUCUCACAAUCCCAUGGGAAAGCCAACUGGCUAGUGGAAACAGAAAAAAAAGGCUUUCAAAUAAUUUCUAAGCAUUCAAAUGCUAGAAUUCUAGGAAUCAUCCCUUGAAGAAGCUAGUGCUGAACAUUCUUCAUGCCUCUUCAACUAACAGAGGAGGAAGCAACCAGCAGGAGACCCACAGUGGCCACCAGUGUCUUCAUAACUCUGAAACCCUUACAGCACAGUCAAGACUUUGUCAACACUGCUGCUGUGAUUAGGCAGCUGAUUUGUGUUUGCAAUCAAAGCCCGUGAUAUGAUGAAAGCUAUUUGAGCAAAAGACAUUCAUCCACAAGGCAUUUGGUAACAAGGCGUCUGGUGAACCCACAGCUCAUGACACAGAUGCCAGGGGGCAGGUUUCCUAGAAGUCACCAAAUUUUCUCCAUAAGGUACAGCGACACCACAUUUUCAUUUCAAAAACUCUUAAAUAUUCUAGAGUGCAUUUUAUGUUCUGGGAAUUAUUUUAGCUCUCUUCGAUAAUGUCCUAGCUCCGUUCAGAACAGCCCCUGCUCCUCUCUGUUCCCACCCAAAUUAAAUCUAUACUCUAUGUAUAGUCUUGUUGGAAACCCCGAGGGCUUAGCUGAGCCUGGAGAAGGGCACAGAGGCAGCAGGACACAGGCCAGAGGCUGCAUUCAGAUGGACCGAUUGAAAUACUAUGUAAUGAGGUCUUUAGAGCACAAGGGCAUCAAGGGAACUGUAGUUUCAGCAGCGUCCAAAAGUGUUUAUUGAAUGGUGGGUCUUGGGCUUUUAUCCUUUGCUCUUCUAUUAUUCAUUAGCAUGCAUCAAAUGUCUGGCAUGUCACUUAACUCUGGCCAGUCUCUGUCCUUGCUCCCACAUUUAUUCUAAUCCUGUUCUGGGCUUGAUGGUUCUGCCUGCUGGGCUCCCAUGCCUUCAUCUUCAGGGAGAGUUCAACUGCAUCAGGCAGAGGAUGGGAAAUGGGCAUGUCAGGAUGCUCUUUCCUUCCACAUCUACCUUUCCUGUGACUCAGUUGUAGUGGUGAUAUGUCUCUCUAGCCACAUUAUUCAGUUGAGUAGCUUUUCCGCUAUGACCCUGUCUAUCACUGAGCUCCACAAAAUCAUUCUUGCUCAUUUCUUUGUGUGUAAAAGAGUGAUGAGUUUUCCUUAUUCUCUCAGCUUUACCCACAAGAACACUACAGAGUCUCAUUGCUCUCUCUUAAAAGCCUGGCUUAUCUGUUACUGUAUGACCCUGAUAGAAAUAAAGUUCAGAAAGUUCCCUUCCAUUUCUAUUUCAUGGAAUAAUUUGAGGAGUAUUGGUUGCUGUGGAUAUUGUUCUAUAUAAAUAAAACACUGAUGGCCAGUGACCAGGCAGGAAGUAGGUUGCCAGGCAGGAAA